UACGUAGGGGGCAAGCGUUGUCCGGAAUCAUUGGGCGUAAAGAGCGUGUAGGCGGCCCGAUAAGUCCGCUGUGAAAGUCCAGGGCUCAACCCUGGGAUGCCGGUGGAUACUGUCGGGCUCGAGUCCGGAAGAGGAGUGUGGAAUUCCUGGUGUAGCGGUGAAAUGCGCAGAUAUCAGGAGGAACACCAAUGGCGAAGGCAGCACUCUGGGACGUGACUGACGCUGAGACGCGAAAGCGUGGGGAGCAACAGG
rnacentral:rRNA from 1 species